rnacentral:rRNA from 1 species
CACGUAGGGGGCAAGCGUUGUCCGGAUUUAUUGGGCGUAAAGAGCUCGUAGGCGGUUCGUUAAGUCGGGUGUGAAACCUCCAGGCUCAACCUGGAGACGCCACCCGAUACUGUCGUGACUAGAGUCCAGUAGGGGAGCGUGGAAUUCCUGGUGUAGCGGUGAAAUGCGCAGAUAUCAGGAGGAACACCAGCGGCGAAGGCGGCGCUCUGGGCUGGCACUGACGCUGAGGAGCGAAAGCGUGGGGAGCAAACAGG